rnacentral:lncRNA from 1 species
GGGACCUGAUAUGGCAGUUCCUUGAUGUGGGGAGUGUCUUUGCAUCCAGAAAGCCCCGGGGCUGGGGUUCUGGCUUGGUCUUGGAAGGGGUUCUGGGGUGGACUUGGGGGUGCUAUUUGCAAGUUAGAAGCCGAGGCUGGAGUUCUGCGGGGCCUGAGGCUGGGGCUCCGAUCUGCGGGACCCGGGGUCGCUGUCUGCAAUCUGGGCUGGUGACGGCAGGCCCGCAGGGGGGCCCGGAGGGGGCCCGGAGGUCCUACCUGGCGAGUAGAGCGCGGCUAGCUCGCGGGCCCCGGCAUGCUGCGCGCCCCAGCGCCGGCCAUACGCCGCCUCGUCCUCGUCGAGCUCCGGCUGCUGGCCCGGCCCAUCCUCGGCGCCCGCCAUGGCCCCUCGCCCGGCCCGCCUGGCACGCUCCGCUAGCGCUGCUGGCGGCGGCGGCGGCAGGGCCGCGGAAUCGCGGCGAGAUCACGCCGCCCAAUGACUGCCCAGCGCCGGGCGCGGCGGCGGCGCCGGCAGCCGCCUCGCCCGGCCGCGCGUCACAGCCAAUCGGGGCCCGCGCCGGGGCCGCGCCGGCCAAUCAGCGGCCGCCGAGCCGCAGCCAACCGCGGCGCGCGGGGGGCAGGGCCACAGCUGGGCGCAGCUGGGCGCGGAAGCGCAUCUCCGCGGGCUGCCCUGCGCCCCCGGGCCGGCCCGGCCCGGUCCGCCUCCCCGACACGCGCGGGCCGGCACCGCCCACCAUGGGCUCGGCCGCUGGGCCUGCGCAGUGGGCCGGAGUUGUGCGCCGCCGCGCCCAGAAACGGGCCUGUUUUCAGCCCGCACCGCCAAGCGCCUACUGUGUGCAAGGAGCGCGAGCGGAGGGCGCGGGGACGGGGCCAGGGAGCCCUCGCUUGGAGGACUCUUUGAAUAGUGCUCCCUAGCUGGGGCCGGUUUGCGCUGGGCUGCCUUAUGGAGCCUCACCACCUGCAGAGAUGACGAGGACCGUGCGUACACCUACUGGGUGCCGGCUUGUGCUGUGCGCCCUGGGGAGGAGAAACGUCGAGCCUGACCCCCAGGAGCUCCUGUUCUCCCCAGGGAGAGGACAGUAAACCGAUGAGAAUGACCCUAAGAGUCACUGUAAGAUUUGCAUGGAGCCUGCAUCUCGCCAGUGCAUCUCUUAAAAGAACGUAUGGAUGAGUGCAUGACGGGGAGCCGUGAGAUCCAGCCCUGCACCUGGAAAAAGGCACAAAGACCACACUCAAGCCUGGGUGGAAGCAUCGUCCAAAUGCAGUGGAAAAAUUUAUGGCCAGAGGAACUAGUUCCAAACCUGGCCCUUCUCCUCGCUUGCUGUGUGCCCCUGGAUAACCCACGUGCCCUCUCUGGGCCUGACACUCCUUGGUUGCAAACCAGGCUUAGCAAAUUCAUGGACUCUGUGCAAUUUAAAGAUUUUCAUUGCUCUUUGCAAUUCUAUUUCUAGAAAUCCAUUCCCAGAGAAAUUCUCACCUCACACCCCAUGAACACAGGUACAAGGAUGUAGCUUGGUUUGUGGAGUAAAACCCUGGAAAUAUCCUCAAAGGUGAUUAAUUAAACUGCGGCACAUUCAUGUUCUAGAGUGCUAGAGAGCUGACUGUGGCCGCGAGGAAUUCUCUGGUGACACUUGCUGGCACAGAAUGACACUGCAGCCCAGCUCAGCAAGGCACUGGGAAUUUCCAGAACCAGAGAGGCUCAGGGUAGCUGUGAGGAUGGUCUGGGAAGCCAUAGACCAGGGGGAGGUUUGGGAGGACGGCUGAGGCAAGGUGACUGGCCAGGGUGUGAAGUCGAGAGCAGAGACCCGGGUGUGAACUCCAGCUUCACCACUUCCUAGCUGGCGGAGCUUGGGCAGAUUAGGGACUUUCUCUGACCCUCAGUCUCUUCUUCUAGAGAAUGAGAUGUCUGAUGAGGAUUCAAAGAGAGAAUUCAUUCAUUCAUCAUCUAUUGAACCAACACUGAGCCCCUCUGAUGUCAGUGGUUGAUGAGAGUCUCCAGGCACUGAGGGUGCACCAGGACCUGGUCCUGCCCUCAUGGGGCUCUCAGUCUAGUGGGGGAGACAAUCAACAAGUAAACAGGCAGACAAGGUAAUUUCAGGUACUGAUGACACCGUAAAGGAAAAUAAAGCAGGGGAUGGGUCUGGGGGUGGAGGCACAUUACAGACACGGGCUCGGGGAGGGCGUCUCGGAGAGGGUGUGAGCAGAGGCCUGAAGGAGCCACAUCUUGGAGCACAACAUAUAAGACGCCAGUGGACGAACCUGGCACAUAGCAAAUCUCAAUAAACGCUGGGUCAUUGUCUCAUCACGCGGGAAAGGAAUUAAAGGGAGACUGGAAUCCGUCUCCUGGGGUCUGAGGCAGGCACGAGAGUGAGAAGAUUCCCGGGGCCUGGAGGGGGAGAAGCAGCCCCUGGACCGAGCGGCCCCAGCUCUGGAGGCCUUGCGCAAACAAGUGUCUAAGCCUCCAUUUCGUCCUUCGGAAAACAAGGCCAAUAAUGCCCACCCUGUGAUAUUGGGGGUUGUUACGGGCUGAACUGUGUCCCCCCAAAUCCAUGUAUUGAAGUCCUAGCCCCCAGGACCUCCAAUGGGACUGUGUUUGGAGAGCGGUUUUUGAAGAGGUGGUUAAGGUAAAAUGAGGUCAUGAGGGUGGGCCCGAAUCCACUAGGACCGGUGUCCCUGUGAGAAGAGGAGAUGAGGUCACGGGCACACACAGAGGGAUGACCUUGUGAAGACACAGGGAGAGGACAACCAUCCACAAGCCAAGGAGAGAGGCCUCAGAGGGAACCAAUGCUGCUGACACUUUGAUCUUAGACUUCCAGCCUCCAGAACCACAAGACGAUAAACUUCCAUGGUUUAAGCUGCCCGGUCUGCGGUCCUUUCUUAUGGCAGCUGUGCAGGGGAGUACGGGUGACGUAGGACACAGGCACACAGGGCCCUCGAGAGAGGCUGCCCCGGAGCCCGACUCGUGAACCCUCAGCAUCUCUGCAGACUCCAGGCCAGUCUCAAGAUUGCCGCGGUUGCUCUGAAGCUGGGCCCAGUGUGCCUCUGGAUUGCCUAGCCUUGGGGACCCAGCUCACUUAGUUUCUGCCCUGCCCUCUGGUUCAUUACUCCAUCAAUCCACAAACUUCACGUGGUGCCCCUGCGGCCAUUCUGUAAAUUAUGGCGUGGCGGGUGCAUCAGCUGGGGUCCAGUCUGGAAAGCGGAGAUCACUCUGGGCAUUUCAAACAGAAGGAAUGGCGUACAGGGAAGUGCUUAUACAGACGAUGGGAGAGCUGAGACGCCAAAAGGGCAGGAUUAGGCACCCUGGAAUGGGCCACAGCCGGAGGCCAGAGGCACAGAAGGAGGCUGUGGUGUCACUGGAUACAAAAAGCCAGGGCUAGAACCACAUGGGGGCUGCCUGGUGGGAACUGGGACCAGGAAGGGAGGGCCUCUUGGGUAGGGGCUGUUCCUCUGUCCUCAGAGCCAUUGCCCGCCCUUCCUCCAUUCUUCACUGAAUUACAGAGUGGCUGACCUCUGCCGGCUGCAUUGCCCAGACUCCGGGUGGGCUGACUUCCCAUUGGCCAAUAGGUGGUCAUGAUGGGAGACAGGAGGCUGGAGGAAGGGAGAAGCAGAAUAUUUCUCCCUCUCUUCUGACAUCUUGGGCUGCAUCUCCAUCAACCGUGGUGUCUCCCCCAGGGCUCCAGCCCUCGCAGGACAGUCCACAGUGCUUCCAGCUUCGCAGAGUGACCACAGGGCUACUGUAAUGUUACCUCCUCCUGCCAUCCCUCCAGCUUCAAGGUGGCAAUGGCUUUCUGCUGAAAUCUCUGAGCUGCUUCACCGUCUCUUGUUUGGCUUCUGGGCCCCUCCGUCAUCUCGGUACCGCGUUCUCUGCUGGAAAGUCUGUCUGUGUAAACGCUCAGUGGUUUCCUUUCCCGAUAUGAGGAAAGGACCUGAGAGCUAACUGGCAAGCGGCCAGCCCAGAAGGCCUCUCUUGCCCCUUUGUCCUUCUUACAGAUAAAAGCCGGGCAGCCUGCAGAUGGCAGAGGCAGCUGGGUGUUAGGGAUCAAAGGCUGGCCCUCGAGUCAGGCAGG